rnacentral:lncRNA from 1 species
UCCUGAUAUCUAUGAUGAGUUUAUUUUGUAUGAACUAUCUAAGUAAGUCUUGAUUCACAUUGCAGAGUAGUCCUGCAUUACAGAAUCAAACCAUCUGAACGCACCGGUUUCGUUCAAUUUAGAAAUCCAAUUGAUACACUAAAAGAUUUUUUGUAUCUUUGUUUGUGUAUUCAAAAUGGGCUGAACAUAAGUAAACUACUCCUGCUACAUCUCUAUGUCACUUUAAAUAUAAUCAAAACGUAUACUAGUGACAUCUAUAUAGCUAAACAUAACGGAGCCUGUAUAUCAAAAUGUAAAUCAUUUCAAAGGAAUAUAGUAAGGGCCCGAUUGAAUAUAUGUGUAGAUUAACUUAAAUAAGAAGUUCAUUACAAAUAGAAAGUAAAGAUUGCAUAUGGCAAACUCAUUUAGACAGCAACCUGCACAUUCAGUCUGAAAAUCCAUCUCGAAAUGUCAAUCAAUUUGGCUCUAAAGCCUCUUAAGCAGGUUAUUUACAACGAUAUACUACUAUUGCCUUAUGAAGGAGCAAGAAACUUUAAAUAGACAUUUGCCAUGUACUCAACCAGAC